UACGUAGGGUGCAAGCGUUAAUCGGAAUUACUGGGCGUAAAGCGUGCGCAGGCGGUUAUGUAAGACAGUUGUGAAAUCCCCGGGCUCAACCUGGGAACUGCAUCUGUGACUGCAUAGCUAGAGUACGGUAGAGGGGGAUGGAAUUCCGCGUGUAGCAGUGAAAUGCGUAGAUAUCCGGAAGAACACCGAUGGCGAAGGCAACCACCUGGGCCUGUACUGACGCUGAGGAGCGAAAGCGUGGGGAGCAAACAGG
rnacentral:rRNA from 1 species